rnacentral:lncRNA from 1 species
CUUGAAAUAAUGUUUAAUUGGGCAUGUCUCUGAUUCUGUCACUGUUUUUCUUCCUUUCCCCCAACUCUAUGUUUCAGAUUUUUUCAAACAUACAAAACAAUUUAAAGAAUCAUUCAGUGAAUAUUCAUAUAACCGCCAUCUAACUUCCUGGCAUACACUUUAUUAUAUAUGUGUGUCUACAUAUAUUUAUAUAUUAUUUAUGUAUCUCUCCAUCUAUCCAUCCAUCAAUCCACAUUAUUUUUUCCUCACUGCCUUUCAAAUACAAUCAAUGGUUGAGAGAUCGUCAACUUUGGAAUCAGAUCUGGGAUUAAUUCCUAGAUUCAGCCCUUAUUUGUCGUAUGGCCUUGGGGGUGUUGCUUAGCCUGCAUCUAUUUCCCCUCUGUAAAUGGGGGAUGGACAAUGAAGCCGACUUCACAGGUGGUGGUGAGGAUUAAAUGACAUAAUGUAGAUGAAGGGCCUGGCAUGUAGUGUGUGUUCACUACAUGGUAGCAAGAGAAAAAGUACAGCAUAAGUAUUUAUUUCAGCCAUCAGCACUGAUUUGCAAUGAUUUGUACUUCUGGUGUUCCUGCUUCCAGCCUCUGCUUUAGGCCCAGAAGGAAAAGAAAUUCAUAGGAGACAAUGAGUCUCAGACUCUUUCUUGGUUAUGAGCAAGAGUUCCCUGGAUCUAAGAGGAUCUUAUAUGUCAGUGAGCAUGAAAGUCCCUGAGGACCUGAUAGUGCUGGGCAGCCAAUUUCCAGGAGAAGCAAAACUCUGGAUUAUAACCCAUCUUGCAUGUUUAUGCAUCUUUUAGGAGAUAUUUCUUAAUAAUAACUAUGCCAGUCCUUCAUAACGUUUGGAAUAAAAUGGUCAAAGAGUACACUAAGAAAACAGUCAAGAAGGCGUCCAAAGUGGGGAAGAGGGAAGUCAUCUUGACUGGUCACUUGCUACAUGCUCCUCCCUAUGCUGGAGUCUUCCAAGGUAUUGCUUUUGCAACAAGCCUGCCAGUAAAACUUUUAAUUUCCUAUUUCCUGAGUAGGAAACUGAAG